UUGAAGGGUGGUGCUAAGAAGGUGAUCAUCUCUGCCCCUAGCAAGGAUGCUCCCAUGUUUGUGAUGGGUGUGAACCAUACUGAGUACAAGUCUGACAUCCAUAUUGUAUCCAAUGCCAGCUGCACCACCAAUUGUCUUGCUCCUUUGGCUAAGGUCAUCAAUGAUAAGUUCGGGAUUGUCGAGGGUUUGAUGACCACUGUGCACGCCAUCACUGCUACUCAGAAAACUGUUGAUGGACCAUCCAGCAAGGACUGGAGGGGUGGAAGGGCUGCAAGCUUCAACAUUAUUCCAAGCAGCACUGGUGCGGCUAAGGCUGUUGGCAAAGUUCUCCCUGCAUUGAAUGGCAAGCUAACUGGAAUGGCUUUCCGGGUUCCCACUGUCGAUGUGUCUGUUGUUGAUCUCACUGUUAGGCUUGAGAAGGCUGCUACUUAUGAUCAGAUCAAGGCUGCUAUUAAGGAAGAGUCGGAGGGAAAACUGAAAGGAAUUCUUGGUUAUAUUGAUGAGGAUUUGGUUUCCACUGACUUUGUGGGUGACAGCAGGUCAAGCAUCUUUGAUGCCAAGGCUGGGAUUGCUCUGAACGAUAACUUUGUGAAGCUGGUAUCCUGGUAUGACAACGAGUGGGGCUACAGCACUCGUGUGGUUGAUCUCCUCCGCCACAUGGCUGCGACCAAGUAGGUGGAUGUCCUUUUUACGGUGGUGUAGGGUAUUGUAGAGAAUAAAAGUCGGCUUCAUGAACUGGGAGCUUUUAUGCUGAGGGAACCUUUGUUUAGUAGUUUGUAUGGGCGUCAGGUGGUAGCCCGCAUUUUGCAUCGGCUCUUGUGAAAAGCUGUUAAAAUCUUUGAAUAUGGCUGGUCUGAGAGUUUUAAGUUGAUAUGGCUGUUUGUUUCAGAUUUGAUAUAUUUUAAUCAGAUUUAGUUUUGC
rnacentral:misc_RNA from 1 species